ACGAACGAGAGAGAAGGAGCUUGCUUCUUCGAUCGAGUGGCGAACGGGUGAGUAACGCGUGAGGAACCUGCCUCAAAGAGGGGGACAACAGUUGGAAACGACUGCUAAUACCGCAUAAGCCCACGGGUCGGCAUCGAUCUGAGGGAAAAGGAGCAAUCCGCUUUGAGAUGGCCUCGCGUCCGAUUAGCUAGUUGGUGGGGUAACGGCCCACCAAGGCGACGAUCGGUAGCCGGACUGAGAGGUUGAACGGCCACAUUGGGACUGAGACACGGCCCAGACUCCUACGGGAGGCAGCAGUGGGGAAUAUUGCACAAUGGGGGAAACCCUGAUGCAGCGACGCCGCGUGGAGGAAGAAGGUCUUCGGGUUGUAAACUCCUGUUGUUGAGGAAGAUAAUGACGGUACUCAACAAGGAAGUGACGGCUAACUACGUGCCAGCAGCCGCGGUAAAACGUAGGUCACAAGCGUUGUCCGGAAUUACUGGGUGUAAAGGGAGCGCAGGCGGGAAGACAAGUUGGAAGUGAAAUCUAUGGGCUCAACCCAUAAACUGCUUUCAAAACUGUUUUUCUUGAGUAGUGCAGAGGUAGGCGGAAUUCCCGGUGUAGCGGUGGAAUGCGUAGAUAUCGGGAGGAACACCAGUGGCGAAGGCGGCCUACUGGGCACCAACUGACGCUGAGGCUCGAAAGUGUGGGUAGCAAACAGGAUUAGAUACCCUGGUAGUCCACACCGUAAACGAUGAUUACUAGGUGUUGGAGGAUUGACCCCUUCAGUGCCGCAGUUAACACAAUAAGUAAUCCACCUGGGGAGUACGACCGCAAGGUUGAAACUCAAAGGAAUUGACGGGGGCCCGCACAAGCAGUGGAGUAUGUGGUUUAAUUCGACGCAACGCGAAGAACCUUACCAAGUCUUGACAUCCCUUGACGAACAUAGAAAUAUGUUUUCUCUUCGGAGCAAGGAGACAGGUGGUGCAUGGUUGUCGUCAGCUCGUGUCGUGAGAUGUUGGGUUAAGUCCCGCAACGAGCGCAACCCUUAUGGUCAGUUACUACGCAAGAGGACUCUGGCCAGACUGCCGUUGACAAAACGGAGGAAGGUGGGGAUGACGUCAAAUCAUCAUGCCCUUUAUGACUUGGGCUACACACGUACUACAAUGGCGUUAAACAAAGAGAAGCAAGACCGCGAGGUGGAGCAAAACUCAGAAACAACGUCCCAGUUCGGACUGCAGGCUGCAACUCGCCUGCACGAAGUCGGAAUUGCUAGUAAUCGUGGAUCAGCAUGCCACGGUGAAUACGUUCCCGGGCCUUGCACA
rnacentral:rRNA from 1 species